CAAGCGUUGUUCGGAUUCAUUGGGCGUAAAGGGUGCGUAGGCGGCGCGGUAAGUCGGGUGUGAAAUCUCGGAGCUUAACUCCGAAACUGCAUUCGAUACUGCCGUGCUUGAGGACUGGAGAGGAGACUGGAAUUCAUGGUGUAGCAGUGAAAUGCGUAGAGAUCAUGAGGAAGACCAGUGGCGAAGGCGGGUCUCUGGACAGUUCCUGACACUGAGGCACGAAGGCCAGGGGAGCAAACGGG
rnacentral:rRNA from 1 species